AACGAACGCUGGCGGCAGGCCUAACACAUGCAAGUCGAACGCUCGUAGCAAUACGAGAGUGGCAGACGGGUGAGUAACACGUGGGAACCUUCCCUAUGGUUCGGAAUAGCCCAGGGAAACUUGGGGUAAUACCGGAUAAGCCCUUCGGGGGAAAGGAUUUAUCGCCAUUGGAUGGGCCCGCGUCGGAUUAGCUAGUUGGUGGGGUAACGGCCUACCAAGGCGACGAUCCGUAGCUGGUCUGAGAGGAUGAUCAGCCACACUGGGACUGAGACACGGCCCAGACUCCUACGGGAGGCAGCAGUGGGGAAUCUUGCGCAAUGGGCGAAAGCCUGACGCAGCGACGCCGCGUGAGGGAUGACGGCC
rnacentral:rRNA from 1 species